AUUGAACGCUGGCGGCAUGCUUUACACAUGCAAGUCGAACGGUAACAGGCCGCAAGGUGCUGACGAGUGGCGAACGGGUGAGUAAUGCAUCGGAACGUGCCCAGUCGUGGGGGAUAACUACUCGAAAGAGUAGCUAAUACCGCAUACGAUCUAUGGAUGAAAGCGGGGGACCGUAAGGCCUCGCGCGAUUGGAGCGGCCGAUGUCAGAUUAGGUAGUUGGUGGGGUAAAGGCUCACCAAGCCAACGAUCUGUAGCUGGUCUGAGAGGACGACCAGCCACACUGGGACUGAGACACGGCCCAGACUCCUACGGGAGGCAGCAGUGGGGAAUUUUGGACAAUGGGCGCAAGCCUGAUCCAGCAAUGCCGCGUGCAGGAAGAAGGCCUUCGGGUUGUAAACUGCCUUUGUACGGAACGAAACGGCUCUGGUUAAUACCCGGGGCUAAUGACGGUACCGUAAGAAUAAGCACCGGCGAACUACGU
rnacentral:rRNA from 1 species